rnacentral:rRNA from 1 species
AAAUGAAUAGACGGGGACCCGCACAAGCAGCGGAGCAUGUGGUUUAAUUCGAUGAAACGCGAAGAACCUUACCAAGACUUGACAUUUAAUGCAUAGCUAAGAAAUUAGUGAAGUUAUGGGAAACUGUAACAUUAAAACAGAUGGUGCAUGGUUGUCGUCAGCUCGUGUCGUGAGAUGUUGGGUUAAGUCCCGCAACGAGCGAAACCCUUGCUAAUAGUUGCCAAUAUUAAGUUAGGAACUCUAUUAGGACUGCCGUAGUUAAUACGGAGGAAGGUGAGGAUGACGUCAAAUCAUCAUGCCUCUUACUGUCUUGGGCUACACACGUGCUACAAUGGUCGUUACAAAGAGAAGCAAGAUAGAGAUAUGGAGCAAACCUCAAAAAGACGAUCUCAGUUCAGAUUGUGGGCUGCAACCCGCCCACAUGAAGAUGAAGUUGCUAGUAAUCCCGAAUCAGAAUGUCGGGGUGAAUGCGUUCUCGGGUCUUGCACACACCGCCCGU